UAAGGGAGACCUACCCACUUAGAAAUCGACAAACAUACAGUUAUAUAGAUACUAAGUUGGUCAUCCCAGGUCGUGCGCUGGAUUAACUAUUGAGAGCUUUCAAACUAUGAUUUGGUUCGGAUAUGGGCUAUUAGCUCAGGUGGUUAGAGCGCACCCCUGAUAAGGGUGAGGUCCCUGGUUCGAGUCCAGGAUGGCCCACCUGAACAAGUAAAAAGUCAAAAGUCAAAAGUCAAAAGAAAUAACAAUAAACCCUUUCUUUCGCCUUUUAACUUUUAAUUUUUGCCUUGAGUUUGGGGGUUUAGCUCAGUUGGUAGAGCGCCUGCUUUGCAAGCAGGAUGUCAGCGGUUCGAGUCCGCUAACCUCCACCUGUGGGAUAAAGUUCAGCAACAUGACAUGGAUAUAAUAAAGUGUCAGACUGCUGGGUAUAAAUCUCAGCCAGAACCUUGAAAACUGCAUAGUAACGCGAAAGUAAAGCAGGUAGACACAGCAUUGAAGAAAUGAUUGUGUUUACAGGUGAAACACCAAUGUAAAAAUCUAAUUACGAAUUACGAAUUAGUAAUCACGAAUUAGAGAG
rnacentral:tRNA from 1 species